CUCGCCUCCGGUCACAAUGGGACCUCUGUACCGCGCUGGGCUUGUUGGCCUGCGAUUAGCACACACCCAUCCCUGGGAACUGCUAGUCUGGAAAGCGGGGCUGCUUCUCCGGGAUGAGCCCGAGCCCUGCCAAGCCCCUCAAGGCAUUGAAGCUUUAGCUCACCUUAUCCGAAUGGUCAUUGGGCAUCUGGACUUGAGUUAACGACUGAAUUUUUCUGGGAAGCAAGGGACACGUUCUAAAAUAACCCCAGGAUCACUCUCCGAACUUGGCCUGAGUCUAGGCAAGCAGUGUUACUCGGUCGCCUUGAUCUUGGAGCUGCUGUGUACUGGGGACCUCAUACUAGUUGGGUUAACUAUAUUCCCAUUAGCAGUACGCGGGAUCGCAGUACUCGGGACAAGCUGAGUUCAGGUAUUUGGGUAAGACAACUGCAACACUUCAGAGGUUAUUUGUGGAGUAAGAUGUUCGACCAUACAGUGAAUAAUUCGAAGCUAGGGAGAACAGAUUAGAGUCUGGUAUGAAGAAGAAAGGGAAGGAAAGGAAUAGUUUUGAAGCUCAGCGCUAGAACGACUCGAUGUCCAUGCCAGGGUACCCCGAGUGGGCCUUGAAAUCUUGCGUCUCAGUGCCUUACAGGGAAUGGUAGAAACUGGAAAAUCUACAAGUAAAGUAUUGGGACCUCCUAAUUUUCCUUUUAGAUGGAGGAAAACGGGCUGGGAUUCCCUGCAGCACUUAGCACACGCUGCUAUGAGUAACACGAUCUGGAAAGACAGCGCUAGCAAGGAAUGAGGAGUGAUACAGUGACUGGAGGCUAAGAGAUAAUGUCUGCAAGUCACCUAAAACCAUUGCAGACACAGGGAGAUUGAUGGAUUUGGAGGACUUCUGGUUGUGAAGACUCUGACGAUUGCUAAAGAUGCAAAUACCUGCAAGUAAGCACAAAUGCCUGUAAUGCUG
rnacentral:lncRNA from 1 species